GACGAACGCUGGCGGCGUGCUUAACACAUGCAAGUCGAACGGAAAGGCCCUGCUUUUGUGGGGUGCUCGAGUGGCGAACGGGUGAGUAACACGUGAGUAACCUGCCCUUGACUUUGGGAUAACUCCAGGAAACUGGGGCUAAUACCGGAUAGGAGCUCCUGCUGCAUGGUGGGGGUUGGAAAGUUUCGGCGGUUGGGGAUGGACUCGCGGCUUAUCAGCUUGUUGGUGGGGUAGUGGCUUACCAAGCCUUUGACGGGUAGCCGGCCUGAGAGGGUGACCGGCCACAUUGGGACUGAGAUACGGCCCAGACUCCUACGGGAGGCAGCAGUGGGGAAUAUUGCACAAUGGGCGGAAGCCUGAUGCAGCAACGCCGCGUGCGGGAUGACGGCCUUCGGGUUGUAAACCGCUUUCGCCUGUGACGAAGCGUGAGUGACGGUAAUGGGUAAAGAAGCACCGGCUAACUACGUG
rnacentral:rRNA from 1 species